ACCCUCUGAGGAUCACAUCUGGAGAAUUUCUAGUACUCUACCAGGCUCAGCUACACGAGGGAGAGUCAAGCAGAGGCAUUUCCAUUCCUAGCUUGGGCAGUAGCUAGGGAGUGGAAGACAAUCUGCUACAAGU